UUCUACACAUCUUAGCUGAAUAGGUUCCAUUCGCAUAUACCUGGAGUGUUUUUCCUAGUUUACGGUUUUGAUUCUUCACUGUUUCCGUACACUUCUACCGUAGCUCCCAUAUUCCAGUUCUUACCGCCUUUGCUCAGAAUUCUCUGCUGUACGGCACCAACAGCUACUAGGAAUAUGGCGCCUUCCAGUCUGUCACAGGUUUCGUUCAUCAGGCGCAGCCAUAUUAAACCCCUGGCUCAGGGAGACUAACAACCGGGAAAGUCUCGCGAUAAAGGUAAGUCGGAGGGGUCCGCGCCAAUUUCCGCGAUAGCCCAGAGAGUCCCACAGCCCCGGCACUGGAAGGGGGAGGUUGUAGCUUUUCAGCUGAGGGCUGGAAAAAAGAGGCGUAAAGUGGCAGAGUCCGGUUCUCCGAAGGGUUUCAUUCACUGACUGCGGUGUUGGGAGUAAGGGCGUCAUGUAUGAUCAGCGACUGAGCGUUUGUAACGCUCUGUCCUUACAGGUAUCUGCUGCUUCUCAAGAACCACAGAAAAUGAUCAAGUCUCAGGGAUUUGUGUCAUCCAAAGGUGUGACUGUUGGACUUCGCUCAGGAGGAGUGGCAGCAGCUGGACUCUGCUCAAGGAAACCUAUACAGGGAUGUGAUGCUGGAGAACUAUAGCAACCUUGUUUCAGGGGAGAUAACAACUUGUGGUUUCUGUCACCAUGAAUUGAUUCUGUUUUUGACCUUCAUGGUCUCAGUCUCUGAAUUCAGAUGUAACCUUCUUAUUUAAACAAGGAGAACCAUGGAAAGAGGAGGAACACAUGUCAAAUUGGACCUAUUCAGACUUUGAAAUUAGACCCGAGAUGAAAGAAUUAACUUCACAGAAGAGAAUUUCUGAAGAAGUGAUACUCUAUAACAUGAUAGUACUCAAAUUUUGAAGACUGGAAACUUGAAGAUGGGAUAAAUCACCAGGAAAACCAAGGCAAGCUUUUGAAACAAGUUGCAUUUGUUAACAAUAAGUCACUGACUAAGGAGAUAGACCAAGAAUGUAAUGCACUGGGGAAAAUAGUUAAUCUGAACAGAAUAUCUAAUGAGCACAUCAGAGCCUUCAUACAUAAGUCAUAUCUCUUUGCCCAACCAAAAAGUCUAACAAGUGAAAGAUAUGAAUGUAUUCAGUGUGGGAAAGCCUUCAGUGGAAAGCCAGGACUUAUUGUACAUCAGAGAAUUCAUACUGGGGAAAAACCAUACAAAUGUGAUGAAUAUGAAAAAGCCUUUAUUCAGAAGUCACAACUUCUGUACAUCAGAGAAUUCAUACAGGAGAGAAACCCUAUGAAUGUGGUGAAUGUGGAAAAGCAUUCAUCCAGAAGUCAAACCUC